UAGAAAGAAGUAAGUAGCUCCUGAAGGAGUUUAGAGAAAGAUCUUAUUCGUCGACCAACUAUAUUAAAAAAGGACAUUACUUUCCCUAUUUAUCUUUUUAAACUAAAAGUUUGACUUUAUGUGGUAUAAAUACCCCACCUUCUUCUUUACUCCAAAUCCAACCUCCAGAACAAGCUGGAAAAUAUUCUAUGGCCUUCCAUGACUUUUUUCCAUUGUUAAUCUUUUCUGUUUUGCAUCUCUCUCAUCCUUCUGGUGUCAUUUUCUCCUCAGUACUCCUUUUGUUUGCAUUUCUAGGUGUGGGGCAUUUUAAUUUUAUUAUUUUUUAAGUAAGCUCAUUCACUAGAUACAUUGUUUUCUUUCAUUGUGUGACUUUCUGUAAUUCUUCCCACUCCAUCAUUUGUAUUAACAAUGUAUCUUUUGUUCUCCUUAUUACUGCUCUUCUAGCUAUAUAACCAUAAUAUAUAAUUGUGUUUGCAUUCUUCUGCAGUUGCUUUGGCUACAUCUGUUUGAAUUUUCUGCUGUGAAUGCUGUCUGCUAUUUGGCAACAUUGUUCUCUACAAUUGCUUACUUUCUGCAUAACAUUUAAAUUGGGGUAUUUUUCCAAUUAUGUAUUUUUUCUAUUUCAGUCUUAUUCUUUUUCCAGGAAAAAAAAAGGAAAAAAGCAGCAGGAGGUUGUAACACAUCAAGACAUCAUCAGCAAAUGGAAAAAAGCCUCAGGAAAGCUUUGCCUCAGGACUUAGCUUAAUCAUUUGGUCCAGCCCAGCUUCACCUGGCUCAUGACAUCUCUAGACCUGUGUAUCUGCUGCUGUCUGUACUCAGAGAACGAUGGACACCUCGGAUUCACCAGCAGGGACACUUUGCUUUGGGUAAUUGCAGUUGUUCACACCCGUACUCUCCACGUUGCUGCUCUUCAGGGGUGCUGCAGCCAUUCACGCAGUGGUUGCUGAAUUUUUGCAUAUUUUUGACUUAUUUUUCAACAUAUUUUUCUAUAUUUUACAGCCUGCCAUGUUAAAGCUGUGAUAUUUGUC
rnacentral:lncRNA from 1 species